rnacentral:rRNA from 1 species
CAGUAGCCGCGGGAAUACAGAGGGUGCGAGCGUUAAUCGGAUUUACUGGGCGUAAAGCGUGCGUAGGCGGCUAAUUGAGUCGGAUGUGAAAUCCCCGAGCUUAACUUGGGAAUUGCAUUCGAUACUGGUUAGCUAGAGUGUGGGAGAGGAUGGUAGAAUUCCAGGUGUAGCGGUGAAAUGCGUAGAGAUCUGGAGGAAUACCGAUGGCGAAGGCAGCCAUCUGGCCUAAUACUGACGCUGAGGUACGAAAGCAUGGGGAGCAAACAGGAUUAGAUACCCGCGUAGUCCCUGUCUCUUAUAC